GACGAACGCUGGCGGCAUGCCUAAUACAUGCAAGUCGAGCGGAGUUGAUGAGAAGCUUGCUUCUCUGAUGCUUAGCGGCGGACGGGUGAGUAACACGUAGGCGACCUGCCCUCAAGCUUGGGACAACUACCGGAAACGGUAGCUAAUACCGAAUACUUGUUUUCUUCGCCUGAAGGAAACUGGAAAGACGGAGCAAUCUGUCACUUGGGGAUGGGCCUGCGGCGCAUUAGCUAGUUGGUGAGGGAACGGCUCACCAAGGCGACUAUGCGUAGCCGACCUGAGAGGGUGAUCGGCCACACUGGGACUGAGACACGGCCCAGACUCCUACGGGAGGCAGCAGUAGGGAAUCUUCCGCAAUGGGCGAAAGCCUGACGGAGCAGUGCCGCGUGAGUGAUGAAGGUUUUCGGAUCGUAAAGCUCUGUUGCCAGGGAAGAACGCUUGGGAGAGUAACUGCUCCCAAGGUGACGGUACCUGAGAAGAAAGCCCCGGCUAACUACGUGCCAGCCGCCGCGGUAA
rnacentral:rRNA from 1 species